UACGUAGGGUGCGAGCGUUGUCCGGAAUUAUUGGGCGUAAAGAGCUCGUAGGCGGUGUGUCGCGUCGGCCGUGAAAACCUGGGGCUCAACUCUGGGCGUGCGGUCGAUACGGGCAUCACUUGAGUUCGGCAGGGGAGACUGGAAUUCCUGGUGUAGCGGUGAAAUGCGUAGAUAUCUGGAGGAACACCGGUGGCGAAGGCGGCAUCCUGGACCGGUAUUGACGCUGAGGAGCGAAAGCCAGGGGAGCAAACGGG
rnacentral:rRNA from 1 species